rnacentral:rRNA from 1 species
CACUCCUCCGGGAGGCAGCAGUGGGGAAUAUUGCACAAUGGGCGCAAGCCUGAUGCAGCCAUGCCGCGUGUAUGAAGAAGGCCUUCGGGUUGUAAAGUACUUUCAGCGGGGAGGAAGGUGUUGAGGUUAAUAACCUCAGCAAUUGACGUUACCCGCAGAAGAAGCACCGGCUAACUCCGUGCCAGCAGCCGCGGUAAUACGGAGGGUGCAAGCGUUAAUCGGAAUUACUGGGCGUAAAGCGCACGCAGGCGGUCUGUCAAGUCGGAUGUGAAAUCCCCGGGCUCAACCUGGGAACUGCGUUCGAAACUGGCAGGCUAGAGUCUUGUAGAGGGGGGUAGAAUUCCAGGUGUAGCGGUGAAAUGCGUAGAGAUCUGGAGGAAUACCGGUGGCGAAGGCGGCCCCCUGGACAAAGACUGACGCUCAGGUGCGAAAGCGUGGGGAGCAAACAGGAUUAGAAACCCGUGUAGUCCCAUGA